AUACAUACCUGGACGGGGUCAAUGGGUGAUCAAUAAGGCCCAUGACCUAGACGAGUGACUUCCAUUGCACUUAGGAGGGUUGCUUGUCUAAGGCUCACCCAAGUGGUGGAGACCUACGUCAUAAUUUGUGAUAGUGGGGCCUGUGUUCGCGUGGCCCCUUU
rfam:Medicago truncatula strain A17 chromosome 7, whole genome shotgun sequence.